rnacentral:lncRNA from 1 species
GGCUGAGAUGCCAAGUAUGUUAAACCUCUGAAAAGAAAUGAUAUAAAAACUUGUCUGGAAUGUGAUGAUUUCACCAACCCGUAGGAUAGUCUGUGCUCAGCUGCAGAUGUAGAAAUCUGUGCUUUAUGACAAAACACUGAUGUGACUGUGGGCCAAGUUCACACCGUGUGAGGGAGCACAGGACCGAUUUCAGCAGAUGGAGUUUCUACAAGGCAAAUCUAUUCCCUGGAGAUGCAAAAAGGUAAAAUCCCCAUCCCUUGAACCCAGAUUACCCAGAUGUGGUUUUGAUUCCACCAUUAUUCUACAACAAAAGUAUUCCAAGUGCAUUACAUAUAAAAGGUGAGUUCUAAGUAAGACUCCUUUCCUUCAUUCCAAGCAACAUCUCUCUGUUCCCCACCAAACUGCCUCUCAGGGGCAGUGCAUGUCCCUGAGCCCUGCACUUGACAUGAGUGCCCACCCUACCCAGCUCCAGUCACCUCUGUCCUCACAGCCCCACCUUGCACUAUGUCUGUCCCUGGGCUCCCUCUCUCCACCAUUUCGCAAAUGCCUCUUCAGGUAGGCAAACCACUAUACUACAAUGCGGUAGUACACCUACUCAAUAUUUUAGGUUAGACUUGGCUUAGAUUUCCUAUUGCUAGCAAAUUUAGUAUGAAAUGUGAUACAGAAGGACAAAAUAAAAUCUGCUGUCAAUAAAAAGUCUGUGCUUAC